rnacentral:misc_RNA from 1 species
AACCUUAUGGACCUGCGGGCGUAUACCUGCGGAGGGAUCAUUAAUAAAUGUUACUUCGGUAACUUAAUUAAUCCCUAACACCUGUGCAUCUUGUCGCUUCGGCGUCAUUUUAUAAACAUCAGUGUAAUGAAUGUAAAGUAUUAUAACAAAUACAACUUUUAACAACGGAUCU